GCUAACUGCGCGGUUCCCAAACUCCGUUUUCUUAUUUUUAGAUGCGUGGUAGACGGAUUUCUGUGCUUGGUGAAGGACAAUGAAGCUAAGCCAGAUGACUGCCUCUCCCGACUUGCUGCACAACUGGACUUGGUCAGCAGCUGCAUGUGGACAGCUCUGGAGGACAUGGCCCCCACCCACUCCACGUGUGGACAGCUUGGGAGGACGUGGUCACCGCCCACUCCACGUGUGGACAGCUUGGGAAGACGUGGCCCCAUCUGCUCCACAUGUGGACAGCUUGGGAAGACGUGGCCCUGCCCGCUCCACAUGUGGACGGCUGGGGAGGACAUGGCCCCCACCUGCUCCACGUGCGGACAGCUCAGGAGGACGUAGCCCCCGCCUGCUCCACGUGUCGUGGCCGACAGCACAUUGCUGCCGAGACCUGCUCUCCCUCCAGGUCCCCUCCGGCCAUUCUCUCCAGGUAUCACCUCCAUCCUCCUCACUGUCACAUCCCUCCGAAGCACCAGAUCUGGGACACAACCUCCACAAUCGCUCGGCCCGACCCCGUCUGCAGUGGCUCUCCAAGCCCUCGCUGCCCCACUCGUGUGUGUGACUCUGCUCGGGCCAGUGGUCAGAAGGCCCUUUCACUGAGUGCGCUGUGCCCUGCUUAGCCUGUCUUCCCUGAUCAGUCCUCUGGCCACCUCACCGCCAUCCAGCCAGCCACCCAGCCAACGAGUGGGGUGCCAGUGUGGGUCUCUCCACGUCACACACCCCACCUCGUCCUUUUGCAGCUCCUGUGGUCUUCGCCUCAGAGCACGGUCCAGUCCUAACACAAUCCCCUCGCUCCUGCCCUCAGAGUCCAGCCACCAGCACCCCCCCACGCCCCGCCCCGUCCCAUUCUGCUCUCCACCAUCAGCGCGAGCGUGUGCACCGUGUCAGAUGGGCUAGCCCCCGGUGGCUUUCCCCUCCCUUAGAGCAGAACCCCCCGGCCGAA